rnacentral:piRNA from 1 species
AUCUGGGAGACUCCCAAUGACUGUGCCC